UCUGUAGCCUAAUGGUAGGGUUCUAGACUAGUGGAUUCGUCACAAUUUCAAGUCAAACGGCCACGGUUCGAGCCCGUGAGUUGGAAAA